rnacentral:rRNA from 1 species
UACAGAGGUCCCAAGCGUUGUUCGGAUUCAUUGGGCGUAAAGGGUGCGUAGGUGGCGCCGUAAGUCAGGUGUGAAAUCUCGGGGCUUAACUCCGAAACUGCAUUUGAUACUGCGGUGCUUGAGGACUGGAGAGGAGACUGGAAUUUACGGUGUAGCGGUGAAAUGCGUAGAUAUCAGGAGGAACACCGAUGGCGAAGGCAGGUCUCUGGGCUGACACUGACGCUCAUGCACGAAAGCGUGGGGAGCAAACAGG